rnacentral:rRNA from 1 species
GAUGAACGCUGGCGGCGUGCCUAAUACAUGCAAGUCGAGCGAACAGACGAGGAGCUUGCUCCUCUGACGUUAGCGGCGGACGGGUGAGUAACACGUGGAUAACCUACCUAUAAGACUGGGAUAACUUCGGGAAACCGGAGCUAAUACCGGAUAAUAUAUUGAACCGCAUGGUUCAAUAGUGAAAUACGGUUUUGCUGUCACUUAUAGAUGGAUCCGCGCCGCAUUAGCUAGUUGUGAAGUUAACGGCUUACCAAGGGAACUAUGCGUAGCCGACCGGACAGGGUGGUAGGCAGCCUGGGAAGUUAGACACGGUCCAGACGCCUACGGGACGCAGCAGAAGGGAAUGUGACGCAAUGGGCGAAAGCCUGACGGAGCAACGCCGCGUGAGUGAUGAAGGUGUUCGGAUCGUAAAACUCUGUUAUUAGGGAAGAACAAAUGUGUAAGUAAAUAUGCACUGCUUGACGGUACCUAAUAAGAAAGCAACGGCUAACUACGUG